rnacentral:piRNA from 1 species
GAGCAGAGCCAGCAACUGUUUUUGAUGUA